GAGAUGCUACUUCAUGCCCGUCGGGCAGGACGAGUCUACACUCGCAAGCUAGGGAGUAGUUUGCUCAUUAGCACAUACUGUCAAUUUCGCCAACAAUUUGCAUGACGCUGUGCCAAUCAGCACUUCCAUUUAAUUUACAAAAGUCAAUGACACAGAAAAAAAGGGACUACAGAAAGUGCAACAAAGAGCUUCUGCUGCUCCAUCCACUGCAGUUGUUCGCCUGGAAUCCCACAAUGCCUUGCGAAACGAUUCGCAAGUCCCAUGGAAAAUGAACGGAGGCGAACUGCGCGGCGCGAUUCGAUUCGCCGCAUAGUCUCCUCGGGUAUGUACCGUUAAACAGCGCUCUGACUUUAGCUAUAAACUUAUCCUAGGAUCAACUUUCCUGACAAGUCUGGUAAGGAGUAACACCAUUAACGACGCCAUCGGGUAAAUAUCGAAACAGAGUUAUAUUGCUAGUGUUUGGAAUAUCGUAGCCUGAUCCUCUUCAUCUUUCUAACUAAACGUUCCGCAGUGGCGUAGCACUGAAAAGUUUGCUAACGCUAGCUGGUAAACCCAACCUCACAGCUAAAGUUAUCAGUUCUUACCGUUUCAUUAAACUGUUGCGGAUUUCCAUGCGAUGACCGUUAUCUUCAAUUAUCCGGGGACGCUGUUUUCAUUUCAUGCUGAAACUAUUGGUGGUUACAUUCACUUCUUUCCCUUCUGCUUUGGGUUUCCAGUGGUUACCAGCAAACGUUGUUGGGCAUCUGUGCACUCACGAGGGGGGUUCGCAUUGUCAAAUCUGGGAGGAACCGCGAGAAUGGGACCGGAUAUGCGUUGUUUGGACCUCCAUAAUAAAACUACUCAAAAAUGGAAAACGAGGACAAGCGACACAAGAAAUAUAAUCCUAAAAAUCACUACUUUUGCGUCCCCUCCGCUACUCUGUUCAGGGAAUCAAAUAGAGCAAAACUGUGUACAUAUAGCAACACAUAGCCCACCAAAUAAAUGAGGUGUGCAAACUG